GCAAAUAUAAUUUAAAGGAAGAAUAGCAGGAUGUGAAAUUGAAAGUAUAGGUUCGAUUCCUAUUAUUUGCC